AAGGAUCAUUAAAGAGUAAGGGUGCUCAGCGCCCGACCUCCAACCCUUUGUUGUUAAAACUACCUUGUUGCUUUGGCGGGACCGCUCGGUCUCGAGCCGCUGGGGAUUCGUCCCAGGCGAGCGCCCGCCAGAGUUAAACCAAACUCUUGUUAUUAAACCGGUCGUCUGAGUUAAAAUUUUGAAUAAAUCAAAACUUUCAACAACGGAUCUCUUGGUUCUCGCAUCGAUGAAGAACGCAGCGAAAUGCGAUAAGUAAUGUGAAUUGCAGAAUUCAGUGAAUCAUCGAAUCUUUGAACGCACAUUGCGCCCCUUGGUAUUCCGAGGGGCAUGCCUGUUCGAGCGUCAUUACACCACUCAAGCUAUGCUUGGUAUUGGGUGCCGUCCUUAGUUGGGCGCGCCUUAAAGACCUCGGCGAGGCCUCACCGGCUUUAGGCGUAGUAGAAUUUAUUCGAACGUCUGUCAAAGGAGAGGACUUCUGCCGACUGAAACCUUUUAUUUUUCUAGGUUGACCUCGGAUCAGGUAGG
rnacentral:rRNA from 1 species